rnacentral:rRNA from 1 species
GACGAACGCUGGCGGCGUGCCUAAUACAUGCCAGUAGAACGCACAGUUUAUACCGUAGCUUGCUACACCAUAAACUGUGAGUUGCGAACGGGUGAGUAACGCGUAGGUAACCUGCCUGGUAGCGGGGGAUAACUAUUGGAAACGAUAGCUAAUACCGCAUAAUAUUGAUUAUUGCAUGAUAAUUGAUUGAAAGAUGCUAUUGCAUCACUACCAGAUGGACCUGCGUUGUAUUAGCUAGUAGGUGAGGUAACGGCUCACCUAGGCGACGAUACAUAGCCGACCUGAGAGGGUGAUCGGCCACACUGGGACUGAGACACGGCCCAGACUCCUACGGGAGGCAGCAGUAGGGAAUCUUCGGCAAUGGACGAAAGUCUGACCGAGCGACGCCGCGUGAGUGAAGAAGGUUUUCGGAUCGUAAAGCUCUGUUGUAAGAGAAGAACGGGUGUGAGAGUGGAAAGUUCACACUGUGACGGUAUCUUACCAGAAAGGGACGGCUAACUACGUG